rnacentral:rRNA from 1 species
AUACAGAGGGUGCGAGCGUUAAUGGGAAUUACUGGGCGUAAAGCGCGCGUAGGCGGCUUGGUCAGUCGGAUGAGAAAGCCCCGGGCUCAACCUGGGAAUGGCAUUCGAUACUGCCAGGCUAGAGUAUGGGAGAGGGAAGUGGAAUUUCCGGUGUAGCGGUGAAAUGCGUAGAUAUCGGAAGGAACACCAGUGGCGAAGGCGACUUCCUGGCCCAAUACUGACGCUGAGGUGCGAAAGCGUGGGGAGCGAACAGGAUUAGAUACCCCAGUAGUCC